GCGCACCAGUCGCGAAUACUUUACAAUGUGCGAAAGCACGAUAAGGGAACUCUGAGUGCCUCCUAAGGAGGCUGUUCAGGUGCCUAAAAGCACCUGAAGGAAGGGCUGGGUAAGACCGGUGCCAGCCGCCGCGGUAACACCGGCAGCCCAAGUGGUAGCCACGUUUAUUGGGUCUAAAGCGUCCGUAGCCGGCUGGGUAAGUUCCUUGGGAAAUUUGGCUGCUUAACAGUCAAGCUUUCAGGGAAUACUGCCCGGCUUGGGACCGGGAGAGGUCAGAGGUACUCCAGGGGUAGGGGUGAAAUCCAUUAAUCCUUGGGGGACCACCGGUAGCGAAGGCGUCUGACCAGACCGGGUCCGACGGUGAGGGACGAAGGCUAGGGGCGCGAACCGGAUUAGAUACCCGCGUAGU
rnacentral:rRNA from 1 species